GACCGCCACGGUGACUUGCAAGCAACUCACUGCACUUAGGUACUGGACUACCUGAAUUUCUAAUUCAGUGAUGGAAGGCUGUUGGGUGUAGUCAAGUACUUGACUUGUCGGUGCGUGUGUCAAGAUGGGAUUGACCACUCCAGUUCAGGAGUUAUGUACAGUCGUAUUUUAAUUUAGUAAAAUCUUGGCCAGGGUAGUCCUAGUGAGGAGUCACAGG
rnacentral:lncRNA from 1 species